AGCCUACACUAUGGAAUAAAGUUGCAGGAACUAUAUUAUAUGACUGCAUGUAUCAGAAAGUAUUCAUAUUUCAGGACAGUUUCAUAAGGAAGUAAAUGUUCAUAUUUACUUUGAUCUGUUUAUCCAUCUGCCGAUAGCUAGUACUUUUUUGGAAUUUGUACAAUGGCCAUUAAGACAAUUUGCAGAGAGUCAUGGCAUACAUACACCUACAAAUGGCAUUUCAUUUCUGCCAGCAGUUACACACAUGGCUGGACAAUACGCAGUGUGAGGUAAAGCAGGUCAGUUUGCUGUCUGGCUUUGUGUGCAGUAAAAUUUUCUUGCAACAGUUAAACUGCACUUCCAUGUACAGAUAUCACACUGCCUGCACACCAAGUGGAAUCCCUCACUGCACUACUCGUUCUGGUCACCUUCCACUCUUGUGUACAGUCAGAUUCCACCACUUGUUAAUUCAUGUCUACUGUUAAUUCUUCUUUUGUUUUUAAAUUUCAACUCUAAAUAUGUUUUCCUGCCCAUAUUGAUUAUAUUGUCAUGUUAAAUACUUCCUUGACAGAACAAUAUUUCUGAAAAAAAAAUUAUACAAUUCAACUAGAAAAAUGUUUUAUAAUACAAUAUUUUCUUUUGAUCAGGAUAUCAAAGUGCCAGUAGUAUGAAACACACUUGGUUUAAGCUAAGUCUGCUUCCUAUUUGCUUUGUAUGGAUAGUUUUACCACAGACUCUUUAAAAUUGUCUUAGAAAUAGUAAAGUAGAACAAAUACACAAAGAUCUUAAGUUGAACAUAAAAUUAUAACGGGCAAGACCAAUGGGUUUAACAAAAUUUCAGAUUUACUCUUAUAAGUAUUCUCUUUCCUACUGACAAACUUUUAUUAUACCUUCAAGUAUUACUGGACAGUUCAAAGAAUUAUUUCUAUUUCAAAGGGAUUUAUUAAGACUUUAUAAAGUGAAACAAGUAAGGAAAUACAAACACUUUCAAUGAUGGAUGCAUAAGAAACUUGCAUAAGCAAUUAUACAUGACCAUAUAUUGCCUAGUGCCAGCAGUGAAUCAACGAACUCUUGAAAUGCGAACAGUUUAGUAAGGGAAGUCACACAUCCCCAAAUCCUUGGUGCCCUAAUGAUCAUAUGAAGUGUCCUGACAAUAUGUCUCAACAUGGCCAAAAUUCUCCCAGAUUUAAACUGAAAUGAAUGACAAAUUACAACAGUCUGUGUGCUAGCAACUUAAAAACUUAUGUGAAUAUGUGUUAAGUUUGUGAGCAUUCUCACUGAAUCAAUUAACUAUAUAUUAACAUAUGAUUUCUUCCAAUCCAAUCACAUGGAAUAAAACAUACCAUGUAUCUUUAAAAUCUCACUUUCCAGAAAUUGUAAACUGACUUAGCUGAUUUGAGCAUCACCACCAUAAUAUUAUGUGACUCUUUGAAGAAAAUGGAACUGCAUGCAGGAAUAAAGAUGGGGAUUUCAGGAAAGCACUAGAAUCUUACAGUUUGUAUAUGCUGCAGAAAAACAAUUUCAGACUGCAGCCCAUAUGGUUUUCACUACAUUAAAUUUGAACCACGAGUGCAUUAUAGUGUGGUGCAAUUUUUUGCCAUUGCCUGACCUAUAUAUAUCUAACGUACUGAAAUCUGCCCCACCUACUGCUUAUAGAUCUUAAGUCAUCCUAGUAAGUAGGUUGUCUUGCUCGUUUAUUCUGAGACUGUUACAGUAUUAAUCUUACGAGUUUUCUAGCAAUUAUUAAUGGCCAUACUACGUUUCAAUAAAAUGUUAUUUACGAACUGAAAUGUACGUAGCGUAUGGAAGUACGAAAUGAAUUUAAUUACAAAAUAUUUACUUGAGAAUGAUUUGGCAUUGAUCCCAUAGCCAAGGUAGCGAUUCUCACUUAUGUACAAAAUGUUAAAUUCUUAGAAACAACAGAUGAUUUUCAAGUCACCUAGAAGACAGAUCAUCCCAACCCACAAACAUUAGCAGUGAUGCAUUUUCAUAGAUGGAAAAUGUUAGGCUGCUGUGAUGUACACAACUUGUAAUAUGAAUUCCAAUAUGUACAAGUUACUUGUCAUCUUUAUUCACUUGAUGAAAUUUGUAGUAGAUUAUAAAUCAGACACGUGAAACCAGAUCUGAAUCGAGGAACACAUACUGGUUCUUUAAUUUUACUCCCCUAGUUACGUUAUGAACAAAAACUUUAAUUUGAGGCGUAAUUUUGAAAGAACUCUUUCCUACAUUCCUAUAUGUCUUACACAGCCAAACAAUUGGCAGCAAGAAAUAUAUAAUUGUCUCCGUACAGAUGGAUUCCAAUAGAGUAAGUAGUAAAGAUGCCAGUUUAAUAUGGCAGGCACAAGAGCAUUCAGAAACAAAUGCAAUUGGAAAGAUUUGAAAUAAAUAAUUAUGAUUAAAACUAUUAUGAGUGUAUAUUCAAUAUCAUAUUAUUCUCCUUAUCAUGUAAACUAAAUUUUAAAUUAUAAAUACAGAAUUUCCAACCUAGAGUCAAUAUUAUCAAAGAUGAGAAUAGUUAUCUGCUCGCAGAUCCCUCACAGGGUUUAGAAUAGUUAGAAAACAUUUUUUAACCAGGUGUUUAAUGUUCAUGGUAUUACCCAGACAGAUACACACACAGCUGAUUCAUGAGUGCCAGAACCUAGCCCCAUCGAAGUGGAAACUACUAUUGAGAAGUCAAAAAAGUAUAAAUCCCUGGUAUUGGUCAUAUUACGGCCGAAUUGAUUAAAUCAGGAGGCGUUGUCCAACGUUCUUCAGGCUAGGUUAACACCAUAUGCCAAUUAAAUUAUUCGUGUGGGUUGCAUAGUAAUAGAUCUACAAUUGAUCGAAUUUUCUACAUUCCCUAGAUACCAGACAAAAACUGGGAAUACAAUGGGACAGUCCAUCAACUAUUUACAGACUUAAGAAAGCCUAUGACUCAAUUAAAAGAGAAGCUCUUUACAAUAUUUUGCUUGAAUCUUGUGUACCUAAGAAGCUAGUCAGGCUAAUUAAAGUGUGUUUAAAUUAAACUUCCAGCAAAAUUCAUGUAGGUAAACAUUUGUCCAAUAUAUUUCCUAUUCAGAAUGGCCUGAAACAGGGAGAUUCUCCAUAGUCGCUGCUUCUCAAUUCUGCCUUGGAAUAUGCCACAAGGAAAUUUAAAAAAUCAGGGCGAUUUCUAAUUAAAAGAGACACAUCAGCUUUUAGCGUAUGUUGAUGAUAUUAAUCUGUUAGGCGAUGAUAUAAAUACUAUAAAAACCAACAAAGGACUCUCCUUAGAGCUAGUAGGGAUGUUGGUCUAGAAAUAAAUGCAGACAAGGUUACGUAUGUGAUCGUGGCAUCAGAAUUCAGGACAGAACCAAAAUAUAAGGAUAGCUAAUGAAUCGUUCGAAAAGGUGACAAAAUUGAAGUACUUUGUGAUGACACUGACCAGUCAGAAUGACAUUCAUGACUAAAUCAAGAGUAGAGUAAAUUGAGGGCAUGCCUCGUAUCAUUCAGUCUAAAAAUAUUUGUCCUCCCGUCUUACAUAAAAAGGAAACUAAGGGUUAAAAUAUACAAAAGCGUAAUUUUGUCAGUUGUGCUGCAUGAGUGGAGAACUUGGUCUCUCACUUUGAGGGAGGAACAAAGAUUAAGUGCCUCUGAGAACAGUGUUGAGGCGGAUAUUUGGACCUAAGAGGGAGGAAGACGGAUCAUGGAGAAAACUGCAUAAUGAUGAGCUUCAUGGCCUCUGCUCCUCACCUGAUAUUGUUAGGGUGAUUAAAACGAGGAUGAGGUGGGCAGGACAUACGGCACGCUUGGUAGAGGGGAGGGGUAUUUACAAGAUGUUUUGUGAGGCCUGAAGGGAGGAUUUUCGUAAGUAAUCCCUUAAUCAUGUAAUUUGUAAAGAGCAAUCAAUUGAAGAUACAGCGACUGAGCAAAGCAAUUUUUUGAGAAAUAAUACAGAACGUGAUCUGGGAAUAAACUGCACCCUGACAGUGCUGUAGCUCAGGCGGCUAUUCGUCAACUUGUCACUGCGGAGGUCAGGGUUUGCACCCGGGGCAGUCCAUCUAGGGAUUUGUGGUUGGUAAAGUGGCUCUUUGUUAAGUUUUUUGGGCGUCAUUCUUUUUUCCCCUGCCAAUGUUCUCAAAUAUAUCAUCUGGUGGAUGGGGUAAUGUUAUCAGGGUGUGUACUGGUUUAAUCUGGCUCGGUAUAUGAAUCAGUGGCAGGCACUGAACAUGGUAAUGGACCUUUAGGUUUCAUGAAUGCUUGGGAAACUUUUGAGUAGCCAAGUGACUUCUGAUUUCUGAAGAAGGACUCUGUACAACAGGGUUAGUAAAUGUAAAAGAUACUGUUCAGGUUGUCAAACAUAUUACAUUGCAGGGUGAUAUUUUUGUCCCACAAUUAUGCCUUCUUGGUUAUUUAAUAUUAGGUCAGCAUAUUUUAGAUUCUGGGGAAAGUAAUUUCAUGGGGGUUUAGUUAUGAAGAAAAUGUGCUGGGGUGAACAGGCACGCAGUUUCAGGUUGAAAUAAAUUGACAUGAAUUAUCAUCUGCAGCUGCAAUUACUGUUAAGUUUAAUUUUUCAGUUUUAAAUGAAUAAUUGAACAAUAAGCAGUUUGCAAACACAGAAGUGAUAUAGGUAAAGACAUUUUAAUAUUAAUGUAGACAACAUCUGUACUAUAUAAUUUUGUUUCUAAAGCUGCUUACCUAUAUAAUAGUUUUAUUAGGGGUACUCACAGCCCCUCGCUGUUAGGGAACACUGUCUUCUUUGUCAUCAGUUUGUUUUAGAAGAAGCGCCAUGGCAGUGCUAUGGCACUCAAAGAAGCACCAAGGCUAAAUACAGCCUUGAAGAAGCAUAAAUAUACAAGAAAAUACACAGUGAAGGUGUCUGUCUUACGGAUUGUAGUGCCGAGUGGUCUGGUAGAAGUAUUGCUGCCUCUUAUUCAUCGCCAAAAUGAUGAAGGUACCAAAUACCUCUGGAACAUCAACAAACUUCUACCAGACUAAAUGGUACUACAACCCAGAAGACGACCAUCUUCACACUCAACACCAUGAGAAUGCAUUGGCUUUCCUUUUUUGAGAAACUUUAGCCACACAUAUUCAAGUUAGAGCCACACAGAAUAUAAAAUUGUGUGCAACAGGGCCAACGUGUGUAUAACAAUUUAAUGUUUAGUUAGAAAGAACAUGUAUGUGAUUGAGCAAUAUACCACAUCAAGUUUCAGCAUAGUUUUUAAGGUAAUAAUUCACUUGUAAGUAAAUUAGUAUCAGUAAAGUCAUUUUGAAGAACUGUUGAUGCAAAUGCAGAAAUAUAUUAGUUUUAGCCAGGAAGUGGAGAGGAAUUGUAUGUUUCAUGGAAGGAUAUGUAAAAUCUGUUCAUGAGUUUUAGAAUUUUUAUAGAAAAUACUUAGAAAAUAGUUGGUUUUCAAAAGGUUGUGCUUAAGUUAGUGCGGACUUCUAUGUACUCUUAAAAGUUGCCUUUAUAAGCACUUAAAUGUGUAGGUAUGAUGUUUUCUGAUUUUUAUCUGGGGAAAAAGAAUGUUACAAAUUUACAUACUCCUGAAACUAAAGCAGACAUCAGUGACACAGAACAUUCCCCAAGAAACACUGCACUUCUGUUGUGGCCACAUCACAGUGUCUGCUUGUGUGAUAGCAAUCCCCUUUUUUUUUAAAGCAGAAGCCACUUGAUUUCCCACUCCUGUUCAUUGCGAAUACUGAGCAGACUGAAGUGCGACAUGCCAUCUUAUGCAAGUUGAUCGAUUAAUGCUACACAUUACUUUUAUUUCAGGAAUUUGGACAACUUAAACCAUGUUUUAUUCCUAUGAUCUGCUAUGCCGCAAGCCAAAUGGAAAAUUUACAGUUAUUUGGCUGUUGGCAAAUUCUAGGAAGGUACAUAAUAGAGAAAUCAUGAAAAUUUUGAUUCCCCAUAUAGUGAAAGUAUUCUUUUUCACAUUUUUGUUUUCCCCAGGAUGCUUGAUUCCUGAGGCCUAGCCCACUGCGCUUCUUGCUCCUGGGUUUUCUGUGCCCACCUAUAAUUUCAAAAUUCAUUGCUUCGUCCUCAUGCUUCCAACGUGACUUAUUAGAGUACCACCAGAACUGACCACCUUGGGCUAGGUCACCUCUGGGGUCUGUACCCCCUAGGGAAAAUAUCAGAGAUUUCUCCAAAUCUUGAUCCAAGCCCGAGUUGAUACCCCUACAGUUUUACAGAUUUAGCUUUUCCCCAGCAAUCUUGUUCAGUGGGAUUGGGCCCCUUGCACUUGUGCUCUGGAAGCUCACCCACCAGGCUUCAUUUUCCAAACAUUCCCCAGGCUUUCAGAUUCCAUAGUUUCAGCCUUUCUGUGCUUCGACACCACUGAGCUUUCUCCAUCGUAAGACCUGCACAUCAUGCAAAAUCUCUGGAUUUCUAAAAGUCAGGCCUUCCACCUGUAUGUCAUGUCUUUCAUUAGCCUGCUGAAGCAUUCUGUUGCAACAGUGACCUUGAAUACCACUGUUGGUUCUGAUACCAUUGUUACAUUAAUUUUUCUUGGUUGCCCUGCUAACAUCAUAACUCACGGUAAGCCAUAAAGAAUGCAUUUGGAAUUUUAUUGCACUCAAAAGGCUUUCGCUAUUUGACCUGAAAUGCUUACAUGAUCCUGAUUUAUCAGAUAAAGGUAAUGUAGGCAUAUUGGGAAUAUUAAAACCUUUCAUGUCGUGCAGUGUUGAAUAUUUACCUAACAUAUAAAAUCGAGCAUACAAACAAAACACUUGGUGCCAAACACGUUUCGAUCUCAAGAGGUCAUCGUUAGUGGCAAAAACAUUAAUUCAUUAGUCUGUCUAUUAAAUCAUACAGUUCAUAAGACAGUGGUUUGUUAUAAAGUGCCAAGCAUGAAAAGGUCACACUUUAUAAAACCAUACUUCAUGUAAUACCACACUGGACGUUAAUUGCACAAGAGUUGGUGUGGUUAAAUUGAGUUACUUAGCUUAAUGUCCACUGGCCUAAGUUUAGGUUUCCAUUGUUGGUCUGUGGUGAGCUGUGGUUGCGUUGUCUGUCGCUGGAUUGUGAACUUCAACGUUGCAUGAGUAUUACUGUCUGUCAUAUAGGGAAUAUGGAGGUAAAACAAUUUUUAUUGUAAAUCUCAGAAUUAAAAGAUUUUGGAAUAAAGACUCCAGAGCAGAAACAUGCAAUAUACAGUCCAGGUACUGAAUAUAUCAAAACAUUAUAUUAAUUUGUCCAUGCAAGUCAGUAUAUCGGUCACUUAAGGAGGUCAAUCUAAAACAUAUUUUAUUUUAAUAGAAAUUUCUGGCAAGUUGCUUGUGUCAUGCCAAUGUAUAAACCAAUCUAAGUAAAAUUUCAGUGUUUUUGAAAGACUUUUAAAAGACUUACUGAAAGGUUUUCUUAAUUUGCCUUCAUGAUUGUAAUUAUUUGUGUCCAGCUGUAUUUCUCAUUAUUGAUAUUUUAUGUUUCAUUUUUCAGCAACGAUGUUGAAAAUUUCAUUGUUGGAAGUUAUCCUGAUCAUUUGCUGAAAGUAUUGGUAAUAGUUUCUCUUUGUAUCUCUCAACCAAACUGUGCCAUGGAAUUGUACUUGCCCUUAGAACACAGCUUAUUUAUUUCAUGAGUGAAUUCUGUACAUUAGCUUUGUACCCAACAUCCAGGGGCAUUGAAGGGCAAGUGAACUGCUUCAGUCACAUUUUUUCUUGAGCAUUCCUCUCAUUAUGAUAUUUAAUUAAUUAAUGUUUUGAACAUCAUGAUCAGAUCUGUUUAAAACAGCAUUGGACUUUUAAUUAAUUUGUUUUUUCACAAGCUUUCACAAAUUACCUUGAAUCUUGGUUUAAAAGUAGUAAUGCAAAGAUAACUGCAAUAUAUCACUAAUAUAGAAAAAUCAGUAAUAUGGAAAAAUAACUACUGUUAUAGUUAUUAAUUCUAUUAUUAGUAUUAGCAUAUCUUUCCAUGUCAUGCAAGAAAUUCAACCCUCAUAAUAGUUUGUAUUUUAGCCCCACUAUCAAUUUAAGCCAUUUGCUGUCUGGUUAAAAAAAUCCCCCCAAAUACACCAUGAGCAUUAUUAUGCCCUACCCAUGCUUGACCCCUGGAAAGGACCCUGGUACCUAUUGGGGAGGAGGCCAGAGGAAAAAUUCCCUCUAUACCCAUCGGGGAUCGAACCCCGGUCGUCACCAUACUAACUGAGCUAUCCCAGCUCUAGCAACCUGUCGUGAUAAUUUGAAUUGUUUUAUUGUCCUGCAUUGUAGAAUGUGAAAAAGAACCUGGAUAUUAAUCAUUUGAAAGCGACCAAGUUUUCGCCCGUAUGAAAACCUCGGAGAUCUGUGAGAAAAUUAUCGGCUAGUGAACUAGCCCAGUCAUACUACACACCAGAGAGAAUUCACCGGGGCGUAACGAGCAAAAUAGCUUAUUACUACAUUUAGGGCCAGCGCACACGUAAGACUUAACCGUCGGUUGACUGUUCUGUCGUCGGCUGAAGCAUACGACCCAUAAACGACACGACAGUUCAGUCCAUGAGCAUGGGUACACGUACGACUAAACAGUCGUUCUUUUGAUCUCUUUUGUUCCACAUUCUUCGAUCUAUGCUCGCCGAGUACAGAAGUCAGGAAUGUUGCAAGAAGAGAAUAUCGAACAAUUAAUUGAAGAGGUAGACAAAAAAUUAAAAGAUUAUGCAAACAUCAAUGUUAAAAGAGUACUUUGGCAAGAGAUUUGUUCAGUUGUGCCAGUCUUUCUUUAGGUGAAAUAGCGAGACGCAUAUCCGUAUCUUGAUAGGUUAUACUCGGUCUCAGCAAUAAUAGAAGUUCAUCAAAACUUUGUGUACUCAUGCGAAAAUAUGAAAAGAAUUUUGCAGGAUAAUUCCGUAAUGUUUCAUACAUAGUAUGGAAUUUUCCUUUGAACAGUCUCUCACUGUAUAAUGGAUGCACCCAGUAAUUCCUUUUCCUCCAUUUAUUGAGGCGUAUCACAAGUGCACAUACUAUCGCAGUUUCAACAAAAUCCAUGUUUGACGAUCGUCUACUCUCUGCAAAUGCUCUCACGAAAUGAAAGGUCGUUCGUCUUUGCGCUUUCAAAUAAUUCGAAGGGCCAACGACAGUUGGUAGACAGAAAAGUCCGGGGUUGCCAGUCGUGUCGUAACAGUGUGCGCAUCUCUAUACGUUCUUAAGGGCUUUGUGCGAAAGACGAAACAGUCAUCUGACUGUUUGUCUUACGUGUGCGGUUACAGUUGAACAGUGAAGACCCAGGCUGCGUGUGUUGCAGACGUGGCAGGUUAUCCCGUGGUUUGGUUAACAUGGUGGAAAUGUGUUGUUCCAGCAAGCAGCUCAGGUGCAGGGGCAGCUUGUUCCAACGUGUCAUAACCAGACACCUGAUGUCUAAUCUUGUAACAUCUAGGACUGGACUUUCUGUGGUUUCCCUAUUCUGCACAGACAAGAAGAUCUUCAUUUAUGCACCACAUAAUGUUAUGGACAUAACAGAUCAGAGAAGGAGAUGAGGCAAGAAAGAAACUUCAAAGCCAUCACAUGAACUGCAUCUGGUUCCAUGCAGUUAACUGAAUGUUGUGUU